GCGUGAGCCCUCAUGCCAGGGCUGCAGAGGGGGGUUCGGUGGGGGAUCACAGAUCCAGGCUGUGGGGAAGCACAGAUAGCACCGAUGUGUGAACAGGGUAUGUUGUCCUGUUCUUCACAUAUCGAGUCCAUGGCAGAGCUACUUAUUUAUGUUACUAGGUUCAGAUCCUGUGGGCAUCAGAGGAGUUUUAGACAAAUCCAGGCAUGUGACUGUCAGUGUCAGCUUCACACCAUGGAUCUGGGAUCCUCUCUUGGAAUGGGUUAGAGGCACAGAGUAGAAGGAUUUUUUUGCCAUUAAGCUGUUACCCCACCCCUUAGGGCUGCUGUGACCAGACCCAGUGGGCAUCUGACCUCAGGAGCCCUUCCCUGGCUCUGGAGGCUGAGGUGCUGGUCACCCAUGACGAGUCUGCCUGGUGUUGCCGCCAGGACAUGCCAGCCCCACAUCUCCAUGAUGCCCAGGGACUUCGGGAGGGGCUGGGAGGCACCAGCUACUGGAGGACUUGACUUGCUACUGGAAGCCUGACACUCAUACCAAGAGGGAAUCCCUAGGAAGGGGAAGGAGAGUUCCUAAAGGAACAACAGUGGCUUCAUGUGGGCUGCAGUGCUUGAUGGUUUCUCAGACACUCUGAAACCCACAGCAGCAGGCAGACCCUGGUGGAGACCCUGGGGGCACCUACCCACUAGGAACAGUAGACCUGUUACUUAGGGGUCCCCAUGUUGUUUGAGGCCCUAGAAAAUGAUUUAAUUUUUUUAAAUGCAAAGAAAGUAAGGAAUACCAUCCAGCUUGGAUUAUAUUCAUCUUUCUACCAGCUCAGUUCUACAAAUAGUUUUCGAGAGGCCCACUUAAAGUUAUAAUGCACCUACUGUGUGCUAGUUGGUACUUUACAAAACUUAGCUCAUUUGACCUUGAUGACAACCUAUGAAGUAGGUGCUGCUGUUUUCCCCAUUUUACAGAUUAGGAAACUGAGCGUCUGAGGGAUGAGAUAACCAGCCAGAGUGGCACCGUGAGUGACACAAAGGCUGGGACUUGAGACUUUGGGUCUGGUGUGCAGUGUCUCCUCUACAGCCAGGCAUUUCUGUGAGGCCCACUCUGCUGUUCACCUGCCUCCAUCCUUCUCUGGGUGGCCCUGCUCCUGGGUCCCCACCCUCCUUUCUUAGGUGGAUUUGGGAGCAUAGCUGUGCUUCACCUAGAGGCCUCCAGGAGGCGCUGCAGCCCUGCUUCUCUCCUGGCCAGUGGCUCCUCACCCUUUGACCUUUCUGAUGACCUCCAGGCAGGCCUAGGGGUGCAGGGAAACCCCUGAGUGUCCUCUGCUGGUCCUGGGACCUGCCCACCUCUGAGAGGCCAGGAAGAGGAAACGAGGACCCAGACGUGGGCCCCAGAAAACAGCAUGGGAAGGCGCCACCUGCAAUCUAAAGAGAAGCUUUAGCCACUGGCACCUGGAUCUCAGGCGUCCAUCCUUCAGCACUGGAAGGAAAUAAAUUUCUGUCUGCUAAAACCACACAGUCUGUGGUCUGCCCUUGCAUCAGCCUAUGCCAACACACACACACACACACACACACACACACACACACAGAUCUUGCCACCAACAGAAGCUAGAUCAACUUGAAGUCUUCUGUGGGGAGUCCACUUUCUGAUACUAUGAUCACAAACCAGCUCUCCUGUCUGAGAGCCUCAGUUUCCCUCUUCUGCUAAUCAGAACACUUACUUUGCAGGUUUACUUUGAGGAUUACCUGACACAACGUAUUUCAAGUGCUAGGUAAACUCUCAAAUGCCGUACAAAUGGUUCUUCCUAUUAACACAAUUAUAGUCUGCACUGAACAAUUUAGUACUUUUAAG
rnacentral:lncRNA from 1 species